GGGUGAGUAACACGUGGAUAACCUACCUAUAAGACUGGGAUAACUUCGGGAAACCGGAGCUAAUACCGGAUAAUAUAUUGAACCGCAUGGUUCAAUAGUGAAAGACGGUUUUGCUGUCACUUAUAGAUGGAUCCGCGCUGCAUUAGCUAGUUGGUAAGGUAACGGCUUACCAAGGCAACGAUGCGUAGCCGACCUGAGAGGGUGAUCGGCCACACUGGAACUGAGACACGGUCCAGACUCCUACGGGAGGCAGCAGCA
rnacentral:rRNA from 1 species